ensembl:lncRNA
AGAUGGCGGACAGAAGCAAGAUGGUGGCUGGAUAGACAGCAUGGUGCCCAGACUUGGUGACGGUCAGAAACCAACCCAAACAAUGUAAAUCCUAUCCGCCCUCAUAAAAGGACAACACCAGGAUUUAAGGAUUACCACGGGGAACGUGACCUCCCCUUUGUCAUGUAUGUUUGUCAAGUGUUCGUCUAUGUUAUAUCUCAAACAUUAACAGAACGGGACAGGCUCCCGUUCACCCCAAUGCUUGGGCUAUCCCUCAACAAGAGAGAGAAGGACCAGAGCUCGCCAGGAACCCAGGCCUACUGUUUGACGAAGGAAUACGUACUUUCUUUCCAACUCCAAUGUUGCAUGGAAAGCAGAAGCAGGAGAAGACGAGUAGAGAAACUGAGUAAACGAUGCAUUGACGACUGUAAGGCCUACUGAAUGAUAUCUACAGAGGUUGGAUGCGGAAGGUCACCAUUUAUGUUUUCUGCCCAUGCAUACAUAACGUGUAUAGACGAAGCACUCUUUCUCCCAUGUUUGCAUGAGUUUCAUAUAUCCCUUGUGUCAUAGAUUUAACCAUUUGAUGCUUGAAAUAGUCAUACACCUUAGCAUGGCAAAGGAGUGGCGCUAUGCUGUAGGAUUUAAAUCUUGACAUACAGUUAACUUAUACGAUACCUACAUUUGACAACAGGGAGCACGAUACAUUAACCCCAUGGCGUACAACAUCAGCUAUAUCAACCGAUGAUUUGGGUAUAAUACAUGAUGAUGGUUAUGGUGGGUGAAAUGGAACCUCAAAAAUGGAUCACUUCUCAGUGUCGGAGCAUCUUGCCAGAACUCGCUACGCCCAUAUAUGGCUUCGAUUCCACUUCCCCACCAAUAAAUACGUAAAGAUUUUAGUUCUAAAGUGUUGGACCCUCAAUUCACUUGCAUUGAGCAGGC